CCCAGACUCCUACGGGAGGCAGCAGUGGGGAAUAUUGCACAAUGGGGGAAACCCUGAUGCAGCAACGCCGCGUGAGUGAGGAAGUAUUUCGGUAUGUAAAGCUCUCUCAGCAGGGAAUAGAAAAGAAGGUACCUGAAAAAGAGGCCCCGGCUAACUACGUGCCAGCAGCCGCGGUAAUACGUAGGGGGCAAGCGUUAUCCGGAUUUACUGGGUGUAAAGGGAGCGUAGACGGCGGCGCAAGUCCGGAGUGAAAGCCCACGGCCCAACCGUGGGACUGCUCUGGAAACUGUGCGGCUUGAGUGCGGGAGGGGCAGGCGGAAUUCCUAGUGUAGCGGUGAAAUGCGUAGAUAUUAGGAGGAACACCAGUGGCGAAGGCGACUUUCUGGACUGUAACUGACGUUGAGGCACGAAAGUGUGGGGAGCAAACAGGAUUAGAUACCCGAGUA
rnacentral:rRNA from 1 species